ensembl:snoRNA
AUGCAUCUACUUGACAGACCUGGAGCAGUCACUGUCUGCUGCUAAGGUUUCCGCUACAGAUGCAAGAGAAACAGUCCUUGCGCUUUCCGUCUGUCUGAUUGUGGCAGCUGAGAUUGAAUACAGGAAUACAGGG